rnacentral:lncRNA from 1 species
UGCCCCUGGGCCUGCGGCGGCGCGCGCUGCGGGUGCUGGUGACGGGCGGCGCCGGGUUCGUGGGGAGCCACCUGGUGGACCGCCUGGUGGAGCGCGGCGACAGCGUGAUCGUGGUGGACAACUUCUUCACGGGGCGCAAGGGGAACGUCGCGCACCACCUCCAGAACCCCAGGUUCGAGGUGAUCCGCCACGACGUCGUCGAGCCCAUACUGCUCGAGGUCGACCAGAUCUACCACCUUGCAUGCCCUGCGAGCCCCGUUCACUACAAGUACAACCCCAUCAAGAC